rnacentral:lncRNA from 1 species
AAUAAAUGGAGUGGAAUUCCCUUUGUGGCUCAGCAGUUAAUAAACCUGACUAGGAUCCAUGAGGAUGUGGGUUCAAUCCCUGGCCUCACUCAGUGGGUUAAGGAUCCAGCAUUAUCAUGAGCUAUGGUAUAGGUCACAGACACAGCUCAGAUCCUGUGUUGCUGUGGCUGUGGUAUAGGCCGGCAGCUGUAACUCCAACUUGACCCCUAGCCUGGGAACCUCCAUAUGCCACGGGUGAGGCCCUAAAAAAAAAAAAAAGCAAAAAAAAAAUUUGUAAUGAAACACUAAUUGUGUGGUUUUACAUCACGUUGUGUUAGUCAAACUAGUUGAAUCUUUUUUCUUUGACUAGGAGGUACUGAUCACUAUUUUGAGGAUCUUAUGAAGGCAGAACAUGGAGAAAAAAAGACAAAGCCUUAUGGAGUUCCUGUCAUGGAUCAGUGGUAACAAACCCGACCAGUUCCAUGAGGAUGUGUUCAAUCCCUGGCCUUGCUCAGUGGGUUAAGGAUCCGGCAUUGCCAUGAGCUGUGGUGUGUGGUGUAGGCAGCAGGUGCAGCUUGUAUGUGGCCUUACUGUAGUUGUGUAGGCCGGCAACUGGAGCUUGGAUUCAACCCCGAGCCUGGGAACUUUCAUAUGCUGAGGGUUCGGCCCUAAAAAGCAGAAAACAAACAAACAAACAAAUAAAAACAACCCCUCAGAACCUGGGGGGAAACAAAGCGGUGUAGGUUGUAACCGUGGCUUGGAUCUGAUCCCUGGGAAAAAUGAUAAAGGUAUUCUGGAGAUGUUCUAUACAGUUACACAUUUAACAGAUGAAAUUCUCCAUCCCUGGGAGCAAAUCAAGAGAUUAUCUUGGGAAUUUUCCUGUGGUGGCUCAGUGGAUUAAGAAUCCACUGUUGUCAUUUCAUGGCUUGGGUCACUGCUGUGGCACAGGUUCAAUUCCUAGCCCAGUAACGUCCACAUGCUGGGAUGCAGCAAAAUAAAUAAACAAAUAACCAAGAAAAUAAUUCAAGAAGUAGGAGUACACCUGAUUAUCACGACCUCAAUGAAAAAUGUCAAAAAAAAAAGAGAGAGAUUAUCUCUAAUCCCCAAAGUUAAAACUGAAACACAAAUCUAAUAGGAUAAACUUCUCCAUCUCUGGUAGUAAGUGAAAAGAUUAUUUUAACAUUCUAAACAUCCAUGAUAGUGAUCUGGGUAUAACCUCAGGCAAGCAGUACUUAAAAUAAUUGUGACUGGUUUAGCUGAAAUCUAAUUGAAUGUAUUAUUUCCUGUCUGAUAAAAGAAAACUGAAGAGAGGAGCAAAGAUCAGCAUAAAGCACAGCAAAGACAAAAAUUAAAGAACCAGAAGUUAUUUGCUCUAUUCAUAUGGGAUAAACAUUAAUCCUGCUGGUCAAGAAUAAGAGGAGGGUGAUUCCGCAGGCCUCACCGUAAUUCAGUUUAAGAUUUAAUCAAAGUACUUUUCAAGGAUAGUAUUCUAAAUGAAAAUGAAACUGAAUCACAAUCAAAUAGAAUUCUUGUUUUUCCAGUAUUCUAGAAAGUUUUAAAGUGAUCCCAUCUACCUGCUCUUACAUCAUCCACUUUGUACAGAAGACUAGGAUAACAUACUCAGUCCCACUUCUUGCCCAUUUGAACCUUGUCAGGCACUCCUAUUUGCAACAAAAAUAAUGCCUCAAAAUUUCCAAACUAAAAAUCCACUGUUGCUGUCCAAGAUUAAAAUCCUUAUAUUGAUCUAAACAGAUAAUACUUUAACACAGGAUGUACAUUCUUGAAAACUAAUAUUUAAGUUUCCUGAAAAUGACGUAGUUGUUUCGUAUGUGCAAGUUCCUUCAGUUCUUUGAAAUUUUAUAAAAGCAAGAGGGUUUAUCUAGCACUGACCUUUUAGGAAAAUUCUAGUACUGUCUGAUUUGAUAAUGUACAAUCAUAGCCACAUUUCAUAGCAAAAUCAAACUUUUUUUCAGAAAAAAUAAACAAGAAGCCUCUGAAUAGGGUUUUUCUAGCUACGGGUUGCAAUUAAUUAGUAAAUCAUGAAAUCAAUUAAGUGAUGCACUGCCUGUCAUCAUUAAAAACAAAAGCUGCAAGAGAAUAAAGUAAAAGAGAAUAGGAAAUCUCAAGACUAAAUCUUAGUAGUAUGUAUUGUUUUGUGAAGUAUUUAAUUUUAUGCACAAAAGUGUGUACUGGGUUAAGAUGGGACAUUUUUGAUGUUUGAGAUACACUGUUCUAAGCCUGCAUGCAGUCUUCAAAGAGCAGUCCGAGGAAGACCCUUUUAGGGGUAGGAGAGACCGUCCCUUUCCCGAUCACACACACACGUGAGAGACCUCAUUUUCUUCAUAGGCUUCAACCAAGGCCUUUCUCAAUAGAAUCAGUGCAGAGUAGUUAUGAGAACUCAGUUGUUUUAAGACAGAUACUGAAGACUUUUCCAAAACUGUAGAACAAUUCCACUCAUUUUUUUUUUUGAAAAAAAGUCACUUAAAAUUUAAAAACUCUAGUUAUGUUAACCUGUUUACUAUUUUUAAACGAUUUUAAAAAUACCUCUGCCUUAAUUACUAAUACAGUAAAUAGCAAUAGAAUAUAACCCACAUAACGACCCUUUAUAGAGUUUGCAACAAUUUGAGAACACUUCGUCAGUAUGAAACAAAGGACUCCAGACCCGACUCAGGGCAGGUUUAACACGGCCCCAGGCCUUUCCCGGGAGAACCUAAGCGCUUCCCGCUCCACUGACACGCAGACAGGACGUUCCCCGGGUGAGAAUCCUCGGGAAUAAGAACAGAUCUUGACGAAAAUGCGUGGUCUAUACGCUUAGGAGAUUGGACAAGCACAGGUUCGCAGCGCACACGAAA